UCCGGGACUCCGCGGCCCGGCGCCGUUGCCAUGGCAGCGGGGUCGCGGCCGGCGCGCGGGCAUUCCCUGAGGCAGCGGGCGGCCGGGGGUGGUCCGCGCAGCCCCAGAGCCCGACAGCAGCGCCCGCAGCGCCGAGGGGGCGGCCGGCCAGCGCCGCCGCCAUGUCGCUGGGCCCCGGAGAGUCGGCCUCGGAGACGGCCGCCUCUUCCAGGAAGCCCUCCCGGACCCUGCGUCCUCGCCUGGGCGCCUGCGAGGCCGGGCUGCGACCGCGGCCCACGCGGUGACCGAGCUCACUGCGACACAGCGGGAGGCCUUUGCAGGGUUCCAGACCGAGGGAACGCUGCUUCCUUCUCCCCGAGCCCGCGAGUGCUGAGCCGGGCGUGCACAGUUCACCCAGAGCAGGGACUGACUCAGUGCUGCUGGCAGCGGGAGCAGGGGGAUGACAGUCUGUCCGCAAUUACCUUUGACUCUGACUUUGAGACGAAGGCAAAAAAGAAAAGUUUCCGCAAACCUCCACCUCCAUCACCAAAGUCACCUUAUCACUCUAAGCCGAGAAAAGUGGCAUCCUGGAGGUCUCUGAGGACAGCAACGAGCAUGCCUCUUGGUAACAGAAUGUCGUUGACCCCACAGACGCUGUGGCUGGGAAGCUCAAAGCAAGGAGGUCUGACCCCACCCCUGAAAUCAGAGCUCAGCUUGGAGCACGCAUGGACCAGCCCUCCCCGCAGCACCCCCGACUAUCUGACAGAAGCUUUGAGAAGGAGGAGGUCAGACCUCAGGCGUUCUGCCAGCAAUGGUCACGUUCCUGGGACCCUUGUCUACCGAGAGAAGGAAGACAUGUAUGAUGAGAUCAUUGAGCUGAAGAAGUCGUUACACAUGCAGAAGAGUGACGUGGACCUGAUGAGGACGAAGCUUCGGCGCCUGGAAGAGGAGAACAGCCGAAAGGACCGGCAGAUAGAGCAGCUUUUGGAUCCGUCCCGAGGCACGGAUUUUGUUCGGACUCUGGCAGAGAAAAGGCCUGAUACCGGCUGGGUCGUUAAUGGGCUAAAGCAGAGGAUUCUCAAGCUGGAGCAGCAGUGCAAGGAGAAGGACAACGCUAUCAACAAACUGCAGACUGAUAUAAAGACCACUAACUUGGAAGAGAUGAGGAUUGCCAUGGAGACGUAUUACGAGGAGAUUCACCGUCUCCAGACUCUGUUGGCAACUUCUGAACCUACGGGAAAAAAGCCUCCAGUGGAGAAGAAAAUCGGCCUGAAAAGGCAGAAGAAGAUGAGCAGCGCCCUCCUGAGCUUGUCCCGGAGCGUCCAGGAGCUCACGGAGGAGAACCAGAGCCUGAAGGAGGACCUGGACCGCGUGCUGAGCAGCUCCCCCACCGUCUCCAAGACAAAGGGUAUCUGCCCGAGAGCCACCCAAGGAGGGAGACACGAGGAGAGAGGUUACAUGGAGUGGAGUAAGCCCCGGCUGCUUCGACGGAUCUCGGAGCUGGAAAAAAAAAUAAGUUUGAUGGAAAGCCCAAAGUCUCCCGCUUCGGAAGUGGUCCAGGCAGGCUUCCCGGCUGACUCUUCGUCCAGCUCCACCGUGCACAGGCAGCCGCGAUCCGACCGCCAGGAGGAGGGCGAGCGUCUCCGGGGGGCCGUGAAAAGUCUGAAGGGCGAGCGGAACGCCCUGCAAAGCCAGCUGCAGGAGAAAGAGUUGGAAGUGAAGCAGCUGCUUCAGACAAAGGCUGACUUACAGAAGGAGCUGGAAAACAUGAAGGAAGGUGAGAAGGAGAGAAGAGAAAGAGAGGAGGCUUUGCGAGAGGAAAUUCAGACACUUACCAAGAAGUUUCAAGAGCUGGUAGAACUCAAGAAAGAAGAGAAAGACGACACCCCGGAAGUCACUCCUGAGAGCCAAGAAGAGCCCCAACCUUCCCGUCUAGCCAGCAGCCCCGCUCAGCAGGACGCCGAGCCCCAGGCGAGUGGGGAGGGCUCCUGGGCCCCCUCCCCUGGCUCCGAGGGGAGGAGAGACACCGCCGCCCGGCUCCUGCAGGCCCGCUGGAAGGUGUACAGACACAAGAUGUCCCAAGAUGCCAUUUGCAGCCGUCUUUGUCAGGCCAGGCUCCGUCGCAGGUUGGAUUUUGACUCAAAUCCAGUCAAGGCAUCGUAUUCGCUUAAAAAAAAGUCUGCUCUGGAUGAGGUGGCUACUGUGCUCCAGGCGGGUUUCAGGGGACACCUAGCGCGGGCGAAGCUGUUGUCGAGCAAAGCAUGUGGUUCAGAAUCUCCCAGCGUGCCGAGCCUCCCCAGCCAGAAGUCUCCCUUACCCUGCUCUGAGAGCCCCGUCGUCGAGGCCGAGGGUGACCCAGGGCAAGAGGAGGCCAUUACUGUCAUCCAGUCUGUUUUCCGGGCACACCUGGCACAGGCUAGGCUCAGUGCUGCCAGCCACAGAGCUGCCACUGCCGCUCCCCCCAGGAGGAGGUCUGCCUUGGCCGCACCCCGCGAACCCUCCUCUCCACCCUGCCCUGCAGCUUCUCCCGGUCAGGAAGACAGUGAAGUGAGCGGUGGGGAGACCGCGGAGGGACCAGCUGCUGAGGACGAAGCGCCGAGGCCGUGGGGGCCAGGGGAGCCGGCCGCCCCGCAGCCCUGCUCUGCUGAGUCCUCUCCCGCCGGGCUGCAGCCCAUGGCGCCUCCACCCCCAGAUGACGUCCACUCUGACGACUCAGACGAGAUUGUCAUGGCUCCAUCUCUGCCCACGAGGAAGAGCGCCCCGCCGCCCUAGGCCCCCGGUCUGCCCUGGUGGUGAUGCUCUGUAGGGGGGUUGGGGCGAAGCAGGUCCAUCCCUGCCCACGACAGCCCAACUGCCAUCUCAGCCUCGCCUGCGUGGCCACACCCCCUGGACCCGUCAGCCCAGACUCGCUUUGGCCAGGCCCCAUCCACUGCCCGCUGCAGCCGAGGUUCGGGGGCGGCCAGGAACGUGUGAGGGGUGCGCUGGGGAAGUUGCCUUGCUCUACAAGAGCCGGCAGCCCCGGGGCCCUGGAGACGCCCACUGGACACAGCUGGAGUGUCGCAGAUCCCCUCGGGGCCUCCUGUGCCCCCUGGUGUGACAGCUCACAGCACCGGGAGUCUCCUUUGUAGCCCUGGCCAGUCAACGGCGUAGUGACCUGACUGCUGUCUGACUCCCCCUUCAGACUCCCUGAGAUAAGCUCCAUGCUGAGUUCGUGGUGCUCACUGCUGUUCCCAAGAUCUGCCGCAGCACCUGGUACACAGUAGGCGCUCAAUAACUGCAGAAUGAGCACAUGAAGGGCUUGGCAGCUCCAUGGUGAGGUGCCUACCUCCCUCCAUCAGAGCUCUUCCAUUGUACCAUCUGUCCCCCACUGGCCCACAAGCCCCUUGAAGAAAGUGGCCAUACGAUUCGUGUGUAUACACUUGGCACAUGGAAAGUGCUUGACGCAUAGCAAGCAAAGGAUUCGACCAGCCUCCGAAGAUGGGAUCUCAGAGGCAGCCUCGGCUCUCCUUUCUCAGCCCCCUGGCCCCCAUCAAAUUGGGAACCAAGUUCUGUCCACUCUGUCUCAGUGGAGUCCUCAGAGUCUCAGCCCUCCUCCCCGCCCUUCCAUUGGUUAGGUUUGGGUCUGGCUGGAGUGUGAGAACACCCCAAAUCACGGUAACCCAAACAAGUGAGAAGUUCCCCAAAUCCCAAGGGAAUCAGUAUGGGAAAGGUAUGGUGGA